GGGAGCCAAAGUAACCAGAGGGAGCCUUCAGCACGGAAUCCCAUAUGCUGCCAGUUAGAAGUUAAGCUAGAGUCCACAAAUGAAUGGAUUGUGGCUAGCUGGACACUGGGCCCUCCGCUGGCACUGUGGUCACUGCUGGCCCCAGUGCCACCAAUGCCACAGGACACUGGAUGCCAUAGCCACCAACUCCACCAGAAGGAGUUCCGAUUAUGUUGUUCAGUCUGGAUUUAGAAGUCUCAGGAUGAAGGGGAGAUGGGAGACUAGAAAACAGAAAUUGCUCAAAAAGGAAUUGAGCCCUUUGGAUGGGAAACAGGAACUCCGGUGGAAUGCAGGAGGAAGGAUUGAGCAAGAGAGAAGCAGCUGCCAACCUAUCCGAAUGAAAACAAACACCUUGAACACGACAGUGGACUUGAAAUGUUACUAAACUUUUUGGCAGGUUUCUCCCCACUAACAAGCCCGACGCAGGAAUACAAGAAAAGAAU
rnacentral:lncRNA from 1 species